GCCGACGUAGCUCAACGGUAGAGCACGGCUUUCGUAAAGCCGGGGUUGUGGGUUCGAAUCCCACCGUCGGCU
rnacentral:tRNA from 4 species